AACGAACGCUGGCGGCAGGCUUAACACAUGCAAGUCGAACGGGUGUAGCAAUACACCAGUGGCAGACGGGUGAGUAACACGUGGGAACCUUCCUAGGGGUACGGAACAACUCAGGGAAACUUGAGCUAAUACCGUAUACGUCCGUAAGGAGAAAGAUUCAUCGCCCCUAGACGGCCCGCGUCGGAUUAGGUAGUUGGUGGGGUAACGGCCUACCAAGCCUACGAUCCGUAGCUGAUCUGAGAGGAUGAUCAGCCACACUGGGACUGAGACACCGGCCCAGACUCCUACGGGAGGGCAGCAGUGGGGAAGUCUUGGACAAUGGGCGCAAGCCUGAUCCAGCCAUGCCGCGUGAGUGAAGAAGGCC
rnacentral:rRNA from 1 species